rnacentral:rRNA from 1 species
AACGCUGGCGGCGUGCCUAACACAUGCAAGUCGAACGGACGAGGAGGAGCUUGCUUCUCCAAGUCAGUGGCGGACGGGUGAGUAACGCGUGAGUAACCUGCCCUUCAGAGGGGGAUAACGUCUGGAAACGGACGCUAAUACCGCAUGACAUAUUUCCAUCGCAUGGUGGAGAUAUCAAAGGAGCAAUCCGCUGAAGGAUGGACUCGCGUCCGAUUAGAUAGUUGGCGGGGUAACGGCCCACCAAGUCGACGAUCGGUAGCCGGACUGAGAGGUUGAACGGCCACAUUGGGACUGAGGCACGGCCCAGACUCCUACGGGAGGCAGCAGUGGGGGAUAUUGCACAAUGGGCGAAAGCCUGAUGCAGCAACGCCGCGUGAGGGAAGACGGUUUUCGGAUUGUAAACCUCUGUUCUAAGUGACGAACAAAUGACGGUAGCUUAGGAGAAAGCCCCGGCUAACUACGUGCCAGCAGCCGCGGUAAUACGUAGGGGGCAAGCGUUGUCCGGAAUUACUGGGUGUAAAGGGAGCGCAGGCGGAGAAGCAAGUCAGUGGUGAAAACGAUGGGCUUAACUCAUCGACUGCCAUUGAAACUGUUUCCCUUGAGUGAAGUAGAGGCAGGCGGAAUUCCGAGUGUAGCGGUGAAAUGCGUAGAUAUUCGGAGGAACACCAGUGGCGAAGGCGGCCUGCUGGGCUUCAACUGACGCUGAGGCUCGAAAGUGUGGGGAGCAAACAGG